GUUUUGAUCGUCGUCUGAGAAGGACGCGUUUUUGUGGUGCUAACGCACAUUUUUUCCAGAGUGAGUCUAGGGCAAACUACUGCGAAAAGAGAUUUCGUUUUCCGCGAGUUAUGUCCGAAUGGUGAAUACACAUGUUUGUUAUACGGCCACAUACCACUUGAUUCGUUGGUGAACUGCUGUCUUGGAGGAGGCGAGCUCCAGCAAAGAUCGAUGGUUGUGGAGACGGGAGACCACCAGAGUACUCCAGCCGGCAGAUGGUCAAUCGAUGACAGCCGAAAACGACAAAUCAAAACGAACCAACAAGGAAGAACGACAUCAGAUGACAUGUCGUAGUGGAACUUACGUUCGGAAGCUGAAAUUGAAGGUAUUGAGAACAAUUAAGGCAAACCCGGCACUCUCGAACUACAACACCACCAAAGAACACAACUCUAACCAAAGUAUCGUCCGGAGAAUUCAUAUGCGAGAAGGUUAUCGUAAUUUCCGUGUCCACAAGUAACAAAAUAGGACACUGAAGCAAAAUCUGAUGGCCAAAAGACGCACUCCAAAGUUGUACAGCAAGGUUUUGAUGAAGUACGGAGGAUGUAUGUUGAUGGGUGACGAAACGCACGUGAAGGCGGAUUUUGGACACCUCCCAGAACGGAAUAUAAAGAGGAGAUAUCUCCAGGAUAAA